UAGUUGUCAUGAUGCUAUUCAAUCCCUUGCAUGGUACUCGAAAGAAAGACAGUUGGCAAACCUCUUCCUCAAGCAUAGGUAUGUUAAUCACCAUCAAAGACAUCACUUAUUUCAAUUCAUGCACUUGCUCUUCCUCUGAUUCAAUGCCAAGAAAGGUCAUCAUCAUUAUAAUUUGUUAUUGCAGAUUAUUUGUCAUGUUAAUCAUACUUUUAGUUUGCUAACUUAAUGCACUCAUCUUUGAAAAAUUUCAAGCUUUUGAAUCUUGCAUGCAUGCGAGCAGGCACUUGGAGCACCUCCUUCUUAAUGGAUUUGAUCCUUAUUAG
rnacentral:lncRNA from 1 species